CGGUGUAGCUCAGUUGGUAGAGCAACUCUCUUGUAAAGAGUAGGUCGUCGGUUCAAGUCCGACCACCG
rnacentral:tRNA from 1 species